UACAUAGGGCGCAAGCGUUGUCCGGAAUUAUUGGGCGUAAAGAGCUCGUAGGUCGUUUGUUACGUCGGAUGUGAAAACCUGAGGCUCAACCUCAGGCCUGCAUUCGAUACGGGCAAACUAGAGUUUGGUAGGGGAGACUGGAAUUCCUGGUGUAGCGGUGGAAUGCGCAGAUAUCAGGAGGAACACCAAUGGCGAAGGCAGGUCUCUGGGCCAAUACUGACACUGAGGAGCGAAAGUCUGGGGAGCGAACAGG
rnacentral:rRNA from 1 species